GUAAAAACCAACCUGCUACAAGUAACUGCAACAACACCUUCCGUUGGCGAGGUGUUGUUGCGGCCCUAUUCUUCAUUUGGAGUUUACAGGAAUAGAAAAAAGGAUAAGAAAUUUAUAAAGAAAUAUAU